rnacentral:rRNA from 1 species
AUGGCCCUUACGGCCUGGGCGACACACGUGCUACAAUGCCCACUACAAAGCGGAUGCCACCCGGCAACGGGAGCUAAUCGCAAAAAGGUGGGCCCAGUUCGGAUUGGGGUCUGCAACCCGACCCCAUGAAGCCGGAAUCGCUAGUAAUCGCGGAUCAGCCAUGCCGCGGUGAAUACCGGUUCCCGGGCCUU